UGGCGGACGGGUGAGUAAUGUCAGGGAAACUGCCCGAUGGAGGGGGAUAAUACUGGAAACGGUAGCUAAUACCGCAUAACGUCGCAAGACCAAAGAGGGGACCUUCGGGCCUCUUGCCAUCGGAUGUGCCCAGAUGGGAUUAGCUAGUAGGUGGGGUAACGGCUCACCUAGGCGACGAUCCCUAGCUGGUCUGAGAGGAUGACCAGCCACACUGGAACUGAGACACGGUCCAG
rnacentral:rRNA from 1 species